UCUAUCUUUAAUAACAAAAAAGUUAUGCAAAAUUUUCGAUCUAAAAAAGUACAUGUUAAUUGUAAAAAACCGAAAUUUCAAUUUUUUUCAAAAACUAUAAUUUUUUUAGUUUUUGAUUAUUACGUACAAGGUGCCCCUUUGCGAGGAGUACUUGGCAGUUUUUAAAUGAAAGCUCUAUCUUUAAUAACAAAAAAGUUAUGCAAAAUUUUCGAUCUAAAAAAGUACAUGUUAAUUGUAAAAAACCGAAAUUUGGAUUUUUUUCAAAAACUACAAUUUUUUUAGUUUUUGAUUAUUACGUACAAGGUGCCCCUUUGUGAGGAGUACUUGGCAGUUUUUAAAUGAAAGCUCUAUCUUUAAUAACAAAAAAGUUAUGCAAAAUUUUCGAUCUAAAAAAGUACAUGUUAAUUGUAAAAAACCGAAAUUUGGAUUUUUUUCAAAAACUACAAUUUUUUUAGUUUUUGAUUAUUACGUACAAGGUGCCCCUUUGUGAGGAGUACUUGGCAGUUUUUAAAUGAAAGCUCUAUCUUUAAUAACAAAAAAGUUAUGCAAAAUUUUCGAUCUAAAAAAGUACAUGUUAAUUGUAAAAAACCGAAAUUUGGAUUUUUUUCAAAAACUACAAUUUUUUUAGUUUUUGAUUAUUACGUACAAGGUGCCCCUUUGCGAGGAGUACUUGGCAGUUUUUAAAUAAAAGCUCUAUCUUUAAUAACAAAAAAGUUAUGCAAAAUUUUCGAUCUAAAAAAGUACAUGUUAAUUGUAAAAAACCGAAAUUUCGAUUUUUUUCAAAAACUACAAUUUUUUUAGUUUUUGAUUAUUACGUACAAGGUGCCCCUUUGCGAGGAGUACUUGGCAGUUUUUAAAUGAAAGCUCUAUCUUUAAUAACAAAAAAGUUAUGCAAAAUUUUCGAUCUAAAAAAGUACAUGUUAAUUGUAAAAAACCGAAAUUUCGAUUUUUUUCAAAAACUACAAUUUUUUUAGUUUUUGAUUAUUACGUACAAGGUGCCCCUUUGCGAGGAGUACUUGGCAGU